AUUGAACGCUGGCGGCAGGCCUAACACAUGCAAGUCGAACGAGUGGCGGACGGGUGAGUAAUGUCUGGGAAACUGCCUGCUGGAGGGGGAUAACUACUGGAAACGGUAGCUAAUACCGCAUACCAUCGGAUGUGCCCAGAGGGGAUUAGCUAGUAGGUGGGGUAAAGGCUCACCUAGGCGACGAUCCCUAGCUGUUCUGAGAGGAUGACCAGCCAAAUGGGAACUGAGACACGGUCCAGACGCCUACGGAGGGCAGCGGUGGGUAAUAUUGGACAAGGGGCGCAAGCCUGAUGAGGCCAUGCCGCGUGUAGGGAGAGGGCCUUCGGGUUGUAAAGUACUUUCAGCGGGGAGGCGUUACCCGCAGAAGAAGCACCGGCUAACUCCGUGCCAGCAGCCGCGGUAAUAC
rnacentral:rRNA from 1 species